rnacentral:tRNA from 1 species
ACUUAUUUGGCGGAAAUGGUAGACGCGACAGACUUAAAAUUUGUUCUUAUAUUAAAGGGUAUUGGUUCAAUUCCAAUAAUAAGUA